UACGUAGGUGGCAAGCGUUGUCCGGAUUUACUGGGCGUAAAGGGAGCGUAGGCGGACACUUAAGUGGGAUGUGAAAUCCCCGGGCUUAACCCGGGAGCUGCAUUCCAAACUGGGUGUCUAGAGUGCAGGAGAGGAAAGUGGAAUUCCUAGUGUAGCGGUGAAAUGCGUAGAGAUUAGGAAGAACACCAGUGGCGAAGGCGACUUUCUGGACUGUAACUGACGCUGAGGCCCGAAAGCGUGGGGAGCAAACAGG
rnacentral:rRNA from 1 species